AUAUUCAAGAAAUAACAAAGUGCAGAGGAAUGCAAUGACUGAACUGAUCUCAGAGCUGCUUGUUUGACCAGCAGGACCCUAACUCUGUACACUGGGGUUUGGGUUUUAGAGUCAAGUUGUUCUCUGCUGACUUCUGCCUUACCAUGUACUUUGCUGUGGAAUUUGCCCAAGGGCUUGUCAGUUGAAGAUCAGAGGAAAGGAAAGGAUGUAGGUAAUGUACUUAGCACAAUGUCUGGCCAAGAAGAGAAAUCAGUGCAGCUUAACCUUAUUCCCAAGAACCACUCUGAGAAGUUCUAUCCUGAAUUUUGUUUCUCCAAUGAACAUAAUAUUUCAGAAUGGACCGUGCAGCUGUCAGAAUGACGUUCACCCAAGCAAUGUGCAAUGUUGUCCAUCCCUCGACUGGGAACUUCUGAGAAGCUCUGAAGGAGAUUGAGGGUUAUCACUGGGGCCCGGUGCUGGCCCAACAAAUCCACUGCUCCUGGAGGUCAUUUUUUAAUCCAUUUCAGUGGAGAGGACAGAGAUAAAUUGAGAAAGGAGCAGAAGAUAGAGAGACAGAAAAAGAAACACUUGCAGACCUGCUUUACUGCCUGUGAAGCAUCCCCCCUGCAGUACUGUGUGUGCUUAUCCAGGUAGCCGCUUUAUGAAUUUCCAUGGAGGCACUGUGCUGUAACUUCCCCACCCCUUUCCUUCCAAUUUUUGUAUCAACAUCACAUGUUGGGAAAUUGUGCAGAUGUGGUUGAGUUAGGCAGGACCCACAAACCACCAUAUUUCCAUUCCAGGAAGCUGGCCACACGUCAUGCUUUGCUGCCAACCUGUCUCCCCACUGACUGUAAAUUCCAGGAGUUGAAGACACUACUAUGAUUCCAUCCUGACUUUCCCAAAAAGAAGACCUCACCUAUGUGUCCCAGAACCUCAUCUCCCCAGAGCCCUGCCCCACUAGGGAAAGACAGAAACAGGCUGGGGGUGUGGAUCCACUUGCCAACACCCAUGUCCAGUGGAGAAGCAAUGACAGAAGCCAGGACUCCCACCUUCUGCUCCCCAUAAGGAAUUUUAGACCUGGCAACAGGUGGUGGCAUACCUGGCUGAGUACACGUUAAGGUGUGCGAGACCCAGGUUUGAGCCCCCAGACUCCACCUGCAGGGGGAAAGCUUUACAAGUGGUAAAGUAGUGUUGCAGGGGUCUCUCUGUCUCUUUCCUUUUGAUUUCUGGCUGUCUCUAACAAGUAAAGAUAAUUUAAAAUAAUAAUAAUUUUGUUCCACACCCCCAAAGGGAUAAAGAAUAGGGAAGCUUCCAAUGGAGGGGAGGAUACAGAACUCUGGUGGUAGGGACAGUCUUGUUAAUCAUUAAUACAAAAUUACAAAAAAUAGAUUCCUAUUUCAAUAAAAAGAAAAGAAUUUUCCACCAUGCAAAGAGAAGAGUAACAGGACUCAGGGCUGCACGUCUGCUGUGUGUUAGUCCAUCCCCUGUCAGGCUGGUGGUCUGCAUUUGCCAGAAGCCAGGACUGGAGCUGUGGACCCAUCAAGGCCCCAGGUGAGGCAGAAAAGGCUGCGUUGAACCUGGCCGCCGAGGUGACUGUGAGGUCUUGGCCCUGUGGGAACUGGCGGGCGGCGGUUAGUAAAUGUCUGGAGAUCCUGUGUUCACUGAAAUUUCAUUACGGCCUUUUGUCAGGAGCCAGAAGCCCACGGUGCCAUCCGCCGAAGCCUGACUUAGCUUGUCCAGCAGUGAAAUCAACAUAAUAAAACUAAGUUAACAGAUAUGCUGAGGGUUUAAUUAGUUCCUGAACAAUUAAAGAAGAAUUAUGAGACGGUGAACAUUCCAUCUUCAAAAGCCGUCUUGUUGUGGAUCGGGGGUGGGGGAUUGAUGUCACCGCCUGACAUGUCUGCUGAAAUGCCAGCCGGCCAAAGUCGAGCUGGGAACUUGUUCCUGUUAUUUUACUGCUUCCAGACAAGUAUGUCCACUUCCCUGCUGCCUCAAGACAAGACAGGGAGAUUUCAAGGAGCCUCCCAAUGGACUGCAUCUGGGACCCCAGGCUGUGUAGGCAGGGAGGUGAACACUGGGGUUUCUCUUUAGGAGUGUCAGGGCUUCCUUUUCUUCCUUUCUCUCUCUCUCUCUCUCUCUCUCCCUCCCUCCCUCUCCCUCUUUCUUUCUUUCUUUCUUUCUUUCUUUCUUUCUUUCUUUCUUUCUUUCUUUCUUUCUUCCUUCCUUCCUUCUUCCCUCCUUCCCUCUGUUUCUUCCAUUCUCUCUCUCUCUCACUCUUUUUCCCAGAAUACCGCUCAGUUCUGAUGGUAGUAUGGGGGAUUGAACAUGAGACUUUGGAGCAUCAGGCAUGAGAGUCUUUUUGCACCACUGUUAUGCUGUCUACCCCUUUCUGAUCUCAUAGCCCAGUUCUCCUCCACCACUCCUCUGUGAUGCAUUCUGCACUCACUCAGCAGGUAAGAGGUUGCAACAGCACUGUAACAUUUUUGUUCAGUUGUUCUUUUUGCCUCCAGGGUUAUCUCUGGGGCUCCGGGGCUUGGUGCCAGCACCAUGAAUCCACUGCUCCUGGAGGCCAGUUUUCCUUUUUUUUUUUUUUUCUAUUUUAUUUUGUACUUGACAGGGCAGAGAGAAAUUGAGAGAAGAGAGGAGAUAGAGAGCGAGAAAGACACUUGCAGACCUACUUCACAGCAUGAGAAGCAUCCCUCCUGUAGGUAAGAGGCCGGGGGGACUCAAACCUGGAUCCUACUGCAUGGUGACAUGUGUCCUUGACUGGCUGCAUGGCUGCCUGCCCCCUUAAGGUUUUUUUUUCAAUAUCUUGUUUUCUCUAAAAGCUUUCAUCCAUUUAUUUUAAUGAGGGAGAUAGAGACAGGGAUAGACCAGAGCACAGUUCAGCUCCAGCUUAUGGUAGUGCUGGGGCUUGAACCUGGGGACCUCCGGGCCUCAGGUAGGGAAGUCUUUGCAGAACCACGAUGCUACCUACCCUGUGUACAUUGACGAGUUCUUCUUCCUUUUGAUUCAUUUUUCUGGUGGCAGCAGGGAGGGCUUCACCUCUGCCUGGUUCUACCACUCCUGGAUCCUGGGCCAACUUUUCAUUCUUUCUAUUUCAGCUAGAGACACAGAGUCAGAAUCAGAGAAAAGGUGAGAGAUACCAGGGCGAGGCAGUGGCACACCUGGUUAGGUGUUCACAUUACAGUGAGCCAGGACCCAGGUUCAAGCCCCUGGUCUCCAUGUGCAGGGGAAAAAGCUUCAUGAG